rnacentral:piRNA from 1 species
UGGAAAGGUGAUAAUACUGGAGUGGGGAGU